rnacentral:lncRNA from 1 species
ACUGUCACUCGGUCUGGAGACUGCAGGUGGUGUCAUGACGGUGCUCAUCCCGAGGAACACCACCAUCCCGACCAAGAAGGAGCAGGUCUUCUCCACGUACUCCGACAACCAGCCGGGCGUCCUGAUCCAGGUGUACGAGGGUGAGCGCGCGAGGACCAAGGACAACAACCUCCUCGGCAAGUUCGAGCUCUCGGGCAUCCCUCCUGCUCCCCGCGGCGUGCCUCAGAUCACGGUCACCUUCGACAUCGACGCCAACGGCAUCCUCAACGUCUCUGCCGAGGACAAGACCACCGGCCAGAAGAACAAGAUCACGAUCACCAACGACAAGGGCAGGCUUAGCAAGGAGGAGAUUGAGAAGAUGGUGCAGGAGGCUGAGAAGUACAAGGCUGAGGACGAGGAGGUCAAGAAGAAGGUGGACGCCAAGAACACGCUCGAGAACUACGCCUACAACAUGAGGAACACCAUCAAGGAUGACAAGAUCGCCUCCAAGCUCCCGGCAGAGGACAAGAAGAAGAUUGAGGACGC